rnacentral:rRNA from 1 species
GUGAGGCUUCCUGACUGGCGCCGAUACUCUGGCAACAGAGCGUCGGAUGCCGGAAAGUUGGUCAAACUUGAUCAUUUAGAGGAAGUAAAAGUCGUAACAAGGUUUCCUGCGGAAGGAUCAUUACC